GGUGUCGUGGUGUAGUUGGUUAUCACGUCAGUCUAACAUACUGAAAGUAUGCCGGGCUCGAUUUCAGGUGCUCUUC
rnacentral:tRNA from 1 species